CACGUAGGGCGCAAGCGUUGUCCGGAAUUAUUGGGCGUAAAGAGCUCGUAGGCGGACUGUCACGUCUGCUGUGAAAAGCUGGGGCUUAACCCUGGCCUUGCAGUGGAUACGGGCAGACUAGAGGUAGGUAGGGGAGAAUGGAAUUCCCGGUGUAGCGGUGAAAUGCGCAGAUAUCGGGAGGAACACCGGUGGCGAAGGCGGUUCUCUGGGCCUUACCUGACGCUGAGGAGCGAAAGCGUGGGAGCG
rnacentral:rRNA from 1 species